UGGGGAAUAUUGGACAAUGGGCGCAAGCCUGAUCCAGCAAUGCCGCGUGUGUGAAGAAGGCCUUCGGGUUGUAAAGCACUUUUAUCAGGAGCGAAAACGCUGUCGGCUAAUACCCGGCGGAACUGACGGUACCUGAGGAAUAAGCACCGGCUAACUUCGUGCCAGCAGCCGCGGUAAUACGAAGGGUGCAAGCGUUAAUCGGAAUUACAGGGCGUAAAGCGUGCGUAGGCGGUUUCUUAAGUCUGCUGUGAAAUCCCCGGGCUCAACCUGGGAAUGGCAGUGGAUACUGGGAGGCUAGAGUGUGUCAGAGGGUGGUGGAAUUCCCGGUGUAGCGGUGAAAUGCGUAGAGAUCGGGAGGAACAUCAGUGGCGAAGGCGGCCACCUGGGACAACACUGACGCUGAGGCACGAAAGCGUGGGGAGCAAACAGGAUUAGAUACCCUGGUAGUCCACGCCCUAAAACGAUGCGAACUGGAUGUUGGUCUCAACUCGGAGAUCAGUGUCGAAGCUAACGCGUUAAGUUCGCCGCCUGGGGAGUACGGUCGCAAGACU
rnacentral:rRNA from 1 species